rnacentral:rRNA from 1 species
UGGGGAAUAUUGGACAAUGGGCGCAAGCCUGAUCCAGCGACGCCGCGUGUGUGAAGAAGGCCUGCGGGUUGUAAAGCACUUUUCGAUGGGAACGAAAUGUGCCGGGUUAAUACCCCGGUAAGCUGACGUUACUCAAUGAAGAAGCACCGGCUAACUCUGUGCCAGCAGCCGCGGUAAUACAGAGGGUGCGAGCGUUAAUCGGAAUUACUGGGCGUAAAGCGCACGUAGGUGGCGACGUAAGUCGGGUGUGAAAGCCCCGGGCUCAACCUGGGAAUUGCAUUCGAGACUGCAUUGCUGGAGUACGGAAGAGGAGGGCGGAAUUCCCGGUGUAGCGGUGAAAUGCGUAGAUAUCGGGAGGAACAUCAGUGGCGAAGGCGGCCCUCUGGUCCAGUACUGACACUCAAGUGCGAAAGCGUGGGGAGCAAACAGGAUUAGAUACCCAAGUAGUCCCUGAGCGGGCUGGCAAGGCGCAU